rnacentral:rRNA from 1 species
AUGAACGCUAGCUACAGGCUUAACACAUGCAAGUCGAGGGGCAGCAUGGUCUUAGCUUGCUAAGACUGAUGGCGACCGGCGCACGGGUGAGUAACACGUAUCCAACCUGCCGUCUACUCUUGGACAGCCUUCUGAAAGGAAGAUUAAUACAAGAUGGCAUCAUGAGUCCGCAUGUUCACAUGAUUAAAGGUAUUCCGGUAGACGAUGGGGAUGCGUUCCAUUAGAUAGUAGGCGGGGUAACGGCCCACCUAGUCUUCGAUGGAUAGGGGUUCUGAGAGGAAGGUCCCCCACAUUGGAACUGAGACACGGUCCAAACUCCUACGGGAGGCAGCAGUGAGGAAUAUUGGUCAAUGGGCGAGAGCCUGAACCAGCCAAGUAGCGUGAAGGAUGACUGCCCUAUGGGUUGUAAACUUCUUUUAUAAAGGAAUAAAGUCGGGUAUGCAUACCCGUUUGCAUGUACUUUAUGAAUAAGGAUCGGCUAACUCCGUGCCAGCAGCCGCGGUAAUACGGAGGAUCCGAGCGUUAUCCGGAUUUAUUGGGUUUAAAGGGAGCGUAGAUGGAUGUUUAAGUCAGUUGUGAAAGUUUGCGGCUCAACCGUAAAAUUGCAGUUGAUACUGGAUAUCUUGAGUGCAGUUGAGGCAGGCGGAAUUCGUGGUGUAGCGGUGAAAUGCUUAGAUAUCACGAAGAACUCCGAUUGCGAAGGCAGCCUGCUAAGCUGCAACUGACAUUGAGGCUCGAAAGUGUGGGUAUCAAACAGGAUUAGAUACCCUGGUAGUCCACACGGUAAACGAUGAAUACUCGCUGUUUGCGAUAUACGGCAAGCGGCCAAGCGAAAGCGUUAAGUAUUCCACCUGGGGAGUACGCCGGCAACGGUGAAACUCAAAGGAAUUGACGGGGGCCCGCACAAGCAGUGGAGUAUGUGGUUUAAUUCGAAGCAACGCGAAGAACCUUACCAGGUCUUGACAUCCGAUGCAUAGCUUAGAGAUAAGUGAAGUCCUUCGGGACAUCGAGACAGGUGGUGCAUGGUUGUCGUCAGCUCGUGUCGUGAGAUGUUGGGUUAAGUCCCGCAACGAGCGCAACCCCUAUCCUAUGUUACCAGCGAGUUAUGUCGGGGACUCAUAGGAGACUGCCAAGGACAACUUGGAGGAAGGCGGGGAUGACGUCAAAUCAGCACGGCCCUUACGUCCGGGGCUACACACGUGUUACAAUGGGGGGUACAGAGGGCCGCUACCACGCGAGUGGAUGCCAAUCCCAAAAACCUCUCUCAGUUCGGACUGGAGUCUGCAACCCGACUCCACGAAGCUGGAUUCGCUAGUAAUCGCGCAUCAGCCACGGCGCGGUGAAUACGUUCCCGGGCCUUGUACACACCGCCCGUCACACCAUGGGAGUCGGAAAUGCCCGAAGCCAGUGACCCAAGCGAAAGCAGGGAGCUGUCGAAGGCAGGUCUGAUAACUGGGGUG